rnacentral:rRNA from 1 species
UACGUAGGGUGCAAGCGUUGUCCGGAAUUAUUGGGCGUAAAGAGCUCGUAGGCGGUUUGUCGCGUCUGCUGUGAAAACUCGGGGCUUAACCCCGGGCCUGCAGUGGGUACGGGCAGACUAGAGUGCGGUAGGGGAGACUGGAAUUCCCGGUGUAGCGGUGAAAUGCGCAGAUAUCGGGAGGAACACCGGUGGCGAAGGCGGUUCUCUGGGCCUUACCUGACGCUGAGGAGCGAAAGCGUGGGGAGCGAACAGG